rnacentral:circRNA from 1 species
GAGACCGCAAGUUGAGUGGAGGAGGCGGCGGUGGGGCCCCGGACCAGGUGCCUCCAUGGCAGGCUCUGAAGAGCUGGGGCUCCGGGAAGACACGCUGAGGGUCCUAGCUGCCUUCCUUAGGCGUGGUGAGGCUGCCGGGUCUCCUGUUCCAACUCCACCUAGCCCUGCCCAAGAAGAGCCAACAGACUUCCUGAGCCGCCUUCGAAGAUGUCUUCCCUGCUCCCUGGGGCGAGGAGCAGCCCCCUCUGAGUCCCCUCGG